GUCAGGCAGCGCGCUCGAAGGUAUGACGUUCGCGUCGCGUGCCUGGCAUCAAGGAAGAUGGACGCGUCGCCGCCACCCUAGAGGCGGCAUCCCCCGCGUGACGCCCCUCAGGCACCGUCGUGACCGGAUUCCUUGUUUUUCUCGCGCGCCGACCACGUCGGCAAUGCCACGUACGCGCCCGCUCAGCUGGUCGCCGAGGUGUAACGAUAGGAUAGCAGCGACUUCACCAGGAACGUGAUCUGGGUGGCCGAGCGCGCAUCCACGCGCAUGACCGGGAUGCGGAAGCCUUCGGCCACCAAUGCGUCGCGGAAC
rnacentral:antisense_RNA from 1 species